rnacentral:rRNA from 1 species
UACGUAGGGUGCGAGCGUUAAUCGGAAUUACUGGGCGUAAAGCGUGCGCAGGCGGUUUUGUAAGCCAGAUGUGAAAUCCCCGGGCUUAACCUGGGAAUGGCAUUUGGGACUGCAAGGCUUGAGUGCGGCAGAGGAGACUGGAAUUCCUGGUGUAGCAGUGAAAUGCGUAGAUAUCAGGAGGAACACCGGUGGCGAAGGCAGGUCUCUGGGCAUUAACUGACGCUGAGGAGCGAAAGCAUGGGGAGCGAACAGG